rnacentral:rRNA from 1 species
ACUGCAGGCUGCAACUCGCCUGCACGAAGUCGGAAUUGCUAGUAAUCGUAGGUCAGCAUACUACGGUGAAUACGUUCCCGGGCCUUGUACACACCGCCCGUCAAACCAUGAGAGUUGGCAACACCCGAAGCCGGUGACCCAACCAAGAAUGGAGGGAGCCGUCGAAGGUGGGACCGAUAACUGGGGUGAAGUCGUAACAAGGUAAC